rnacentral:rRNA from 1 species
UACGAAGGGGGCUAGCGUUGCUCGGAAUCACUGGGCGUAAAGCGCACGUAGGCGGACUCUUAAGUCGGUGGUGAAAUCCUGGAGCUCAACUCCAGAACUGCCUUCGAUACUGGGAGUCUUGAGUCCGGGAGAGGUGAGUGGAACUGCGAGUGUAGAGGUGAAAUUCGUAGAUAUUCGCAAGAACACCAGUGGCGAAGGCGGCUCACUGGCUCAUAUCUGACGCUCAGGCGCGACAGCGUGGGGAUCAAACAGG